CAGUAAGAAAUCAUUUAGUUUAAGUGCCAAUUCUAUAAGAGCCAACAGCACCCCAGAAAAUUUAUGAACACGGCGAUUCAUUUUGAAUCCAACCAAAACGUAAAUGUAAUCAAACGUAAAGCCUAGUACUAUGAUCGGCUGAGUUUCACUAGUCGAAAAAUCUGGUUCUUUGUACUGUGACCGAAGUUUUCAAAGUCCACCAGCAAUGCAUGUAGCACGGAAGGAAAACCCCAAAAACCAAAAAUGCCUGCAGGAUGUCAGUGCAGAUGAAAAAGGACGUCUAAUCCCAGCUGUGGCCCAUUAUUGAGGGACUUCAACGGCAGAAAGCAAUACCACAACACGGAAAAUCCGCAGAAUAGUUGAAUUGCUGAAGGAGAUCCACUAAAGAAUUCCAGUGGGAAGGAACAUGCCUAGUGGGACUUUGCCCCCUACAUGGACAUCCUGCCGGACGGGUCCAAGCAAAUAAAAAUCUUCGACAAGGUUUCCAUUGGGGAAUCACAGUACUCCACCUCCACCAGUUACUUGACAAUUAAAGCGGAGCUGAAUUAUGUGCUGGCUUCUAUAGGGAGCAGAAAAAGAGGGCACCGCUAAGGGAUAGCUGGAGGAGCCAUUUCCAGCCCUUGCCAGGAUGCUAAGCGACAUCCUGCAUCAGCGUAACAACACCGUUCCCAAUCCGGCUCCCAAUUUCUCAAGGUUCAAUAUACCUAUUGGGAUUCGUAGCUGGACUGCAGAUGGUGCGGAAAAGAUGACGAAGCAUUCUUGGGGCGAGAAGGAAGCUUUCAACUACUAAUUUACAUAAAUAAAAUCAUUCGUUGAACAUUCCAUUUAA